UGCCCAUAUUGCUGUGAAGUCACAUUCCCACC
rnacentral:piRNA from 1 species